rnacentral:lncRNA from 1 species
UUUUUUUUUUUUCCCCCUUAAGAUACUAUGAUCUUUUUUAUUAUUAUUAGAAUGGUACAGGAUUUCUCCAAGGAGAAUCAAUGUAGUACAAUAUAAGUAGCAUAAUACAGAAUCUGUAAGACAAUUUCUAAUCACCUGGACCCUCUGAAGAUCAGAUCUUAACACCUGGUUUGCUGUAUCAAUAUAACAAUCAUAAGCUAGACUCAAAUCAUACAAAAGAAUGAGUCACUCCCUCAGUCACUGGAGGAAGCACAUGAUGGUGGAUGUCCCCAGCAGGUCCUGGUCUCACUGUCCAGCAGCAGUUCUGGUCCGUGUUCCCCGUUAGGACUUGUAACUGCUUGGUUUUACAGACCAUGCUCUGGUGCUGUUAUCGUCCUUGUUCUUUAUCAGGGUCAUAAAUACCACCAGGCUGUCUGGGUGCCUGGGACCUUCAACACCAGUAAGGACUGGCGUUGUGCCCAGGAACCUUGAGGCUCGUAGGAAGGGGAAGGAAAAAUCUGUUUGCUUAGUCUACUUGGUGCACAGGACCUUCAGGACCUGAUAAUGAGGGGAAAGGGUUGACCCCAGAGGGUGGCUGCUUCCCUUAUAAAAUGGCAUUAGUUAUGCUGAUGUUGGUUAUGCUAACCACAUUGAGUAGGGUUUGGGAGCAGGGGGUACUGGUCACAGUUUCUUUAAGAAUCAAUUAAAAGAUUAACUUCUUUUAAUCAAAUAUUAACAAUCUGGUUAUUCUUCACUGUCUUUGUUGGUUCAGUUUCUAUCUCAGUUAUUGCUCAACUGAGAGAAAGCAGAAUUUUUUUGAGCAGUUACAAAGUGGAUGUGUAAAACUGUGUUCUCCAUGGUGGAAUUUUCACACCUCUCUUAUUGCCUUCAGUGAACAGAGCUGCUUGCUUCUUCAGCUUUCUUUUAUUUCCCUGCCAGACAGAUAAAGCCUGUCUGUCUUGUACUGUAAGGUUUCUGAGCAGUUGCAGCCAGGAUGUUAAAUCAGACAAAUGUCAUACCCACUGCAUUGCAGUGUUCGUUGUGUACUCGCCCUGUUAAAUAGACCAGAAUACCCUGCAAAGUCAAAUGUGAAUGAAUGAGACAAAGAGUUUGUGUAGCUCUGAAGCAUGUGUCUCUUGUUACUACACGAAACUGCUAGGCAAUCUGCUUUGCAAGGUGGAGUUCAUGACAUC